ACGCGCCCUGGCACAGUCCCGGCGAGCGCGGGCCCGCCUUCCUCGCGUUUCCAAGGGGAACGUCGCCGCCGCGGCUCGCGGUCCCAAGGGCUUGCGGAAUAUGGUCACGGUCCAGCUCUAACUGACAGAAGCCGAGGGUCCCAGAGGGCCUUCUUGGCCGUGGACGUUCUCGCUCCCUCAUCUUCGAGACCGCACGCGCUGCGGAGAGGAGAGGCGCUCAGCGGCCGGGGGCGGGCUCACGCCGAGCUCCGGGUUUCUCCGGUCCCGGGAUUCGAAUGGUGAAGGCAGACUCGUUUGGCUGUGGAAGACGCGGGCACCUCGCCCCUUGCUGCGUCGACGCCGCCUCGGCGGUGCUAGCUCGGGACCCCCAGUGUCCCAGGCCCGCCAUAGAGGGUGGCAGGUGGCUGCCGAGUUCAGCAGGGACAGGAAUGGCCUGCCGGAACGUAGCUACUAGAGAAAGGCCUUGAGGUCAGCGAUGGGGCGAAAUCACAUCCCAGCUCCGUGACCCUUGGAGCCUGAGAUGUCCCUUUGGUAAAAUGGGCAGAGUAGUUCCAGAACCGGAAUCCGUCCAGCUUGAAGCAGAGCCUGGGAAAAGAGUGACCCAGUGUGUAAGACGCGUCCAGACACUGAAGGCAGCCGCUCUCGCCUCCAAUUUCACACCACCUAGAUACUCAUCUCAAAGUCUUGUAGUUACGGAUGCCCGAGCAGCUAAAAGUUGAGCCCAGGUUUUUCCAUUUCUACAAGUGAGUUCUCACCUGUUCUACCCCUUGGAGUUGAAAUCAGGAUGUUACCACUGUCAUCCUCAAUGUAGAACUAGGGAGACUUUAAUGUCCUUAUUACCUGUUGUAACUCUCCCUUUCUAGUCACACAUCUGCUGAACAGUUCUACUCAUUUUAUCAAUCUUCGUUUUAUUUGACUUAAUAAAAAGCAAUGCUCCUGGUUUUCAAAAAAAUGUACAAAACUUACUGAAAGUUCAAGUUAUUGGUGUUUCCUUCUGAAGCACUUCUCACGGGCAAC
rnacentral:lncRNA from 1 species